rnacentral:rRNA from 1 species
GGGUUGUGAGGUUAAGCGACUAAGCGUACACGGUGGAUGCCUAGGCAGUCAGAGGCGAUGAAGGGCGUGCUAAUCUGCGAUAAGCGUCGGUAAGCUGAUAUGAAGCGUUAUACCCGACGAUACCCGAAUGGGGAAACCCAAUGUGUUUCGACACAUUAUCAUGACAUGAAUACAUAGUGUCAUGAGGCGAACCGGGGGAACUGAAACAUCUCAGUACCCCGAGGAAAAGAAAUCAACCGAGAUUCCCCUAGUAGCGGCGAGCGAACGGGGAGGAGCCCAGAACCUGAAUCAGUUUGUGUGUUAGUGGAAGCGUCUGGAAAGUCGCACAGUAAAGGGUGAUAGUCCCGUACACAAAAAUGCACAAAUUGUGAGUUCGAUGAGUAGGGCGGGACACGUGACAUCCUGUCUGAAUAUGGGGGGACCAUCCUCCAAGGCUAAAUACUCCUGACUGACCGAUAGUGAACCAGUACCGUGAGGGAAAGGCGAAAAGAACCCCGGCGAGGGGAGUGAAAUAGAACCUGAAACCGUGUACGUACAAGCAGUGGGAGCCUACUAGUUGGGUGACUGCGUACCUUUUGUAUAAUGGGUCAGCGACUUAUAUUCUGUAGCAAGGUUAACCGUAUAGGGGAGCCGCAGGGAAACCGAGUCUUAACUGGGCGUUAAGUUGCAGGGUAUAGACCCGAAACCCGGUGAUCUAGCCAUGGGCAGGUUGAAGGUUGGGUAACACUAACUGGAGGACCGAACCGACUAAUGUUGAAAAAUUAGCGGAUGACUUGUGGCUGGGGGUGAAAGGCCAAUCAAACCGGGAGAUAGCUGGUUCUCCCCGAAAGCUAUUUAGGUAGCGCCUCGUGAAUUCAUCUUCGGGGGUAGAGCACUGUUUCGGCUAGGGGGUCAUCCCGACUUACCAACCCGAUGCAAACUACGAAUACCGAAGAAUGUUAUCACGGGAGACACACGGCGGGUGCUAACGUUCGUCGUGAAGAGGGAAACAACCCAGACCGCCAGCUAAGGUCCCAAAGUCAUGGUUAAGUGGGAAACGAUGUGGGAAGGCACAGACAGCCAGGAUGUUGGCUUAGAAGCAGCCAUCAUUUAAAGAAAGCGUAAUAGCUCACUGGUCGAGUCGGCCUGCGCGGAAGAUGUAACGGGGCUAAACCAUGCACCGAAGCUGCGGCAGCGACACUUAGGUGUUGUUGGGUAGGGGAGCGUUCUGUAAGCCGUCGAAGGUGACCUGUGAGGGUUGCUGGAGGUAUCAGAAGUGCGAAUGCUGACAUAAGUAACGAUAAUGCGGGUGAAAAACCCGCACGCCGGAAGACCAAGGGUUCCUGUCCAACGUUAAUCGGGGCAGGGUGAGUCGACCCCUAAGGCGAGGCUGAAAAGCGUAGUCGAUGGGAAACAGGUUAAUAUUCCUGUACUCGGUGUUACUGCGAAGGGGGGACGGAGAAAGCUAGGUUAUCCGGGCGACGGUUGUCCCGGUUUAAGCGUGAAGGUGGAUGACUUAGGUAAAUCCGGGUCAUUGUUAACACUGAGGCGUGAUGACGAGUCACUACGGUGAUGAAGUAACCGAUGCUACGCUUCCAGGAAAAGCCUCUAAGCUCCAGGUAACAUCAAAUCGUACCCCAAACCGACACAGGUGGUCAGGUAGAGAAUACUCAGGCGCUUGAGAGAACUCGGGUGAAGGAACUAGGCAAAAUGGUGCCGUAACUUCGGGAGAAGGCACGCUCCUGUCGGUGAAGUCCCUAGCGGAUGGAGCUGGCGGGAGUCGCAGAUACCAGCUGGCUGCAACUGUUUAAUAAAAACACAGCACUGUGCAAACACGAAAGUGGACGUAUACGGUGUGACGCCUGCCCGGUGCCGGAAGGUUAAUUGAUGGGGUCAGCCGCAAGGCGAAGCUCUUGAUCGAAGCCCCGGUAAACGGCGGCCGUAACUAUAACGGUCCUAAGGUAGCGAAAUUCCUUGUCGGGUAAGUUCCGACCUGCACGAAUGGCGUAAUGAUGGCCAGGCUGUCUCCACCCGAGACUCAGUGAAAUUGAACUCGCUGUGAAGAUGCAGUGUACCCGCGGCAAGACGGAAAGACCCCGUGAACCUUUACUAUAGCUUGACACUGAACCUUGAGCCUUGAUGUGUAGGAUAGGUGGGAGGCUUUGAAGCGAGGACGCCAGUUCUAGUGGAGCCAACCUUGAAAUACCACCCUUUAAUGUUUGAUGUUCUAACGUAGACCCGUAAUCCGGGUUGCGGACAGUGUCUGGUGGGUAGUUUGACUGGGGCGGUCUCCUCCCAAAGAGUAACGGAGGAGCACGAAGGUUAGCUAAUCCUGGUCGGACAUCAGGAGGUUAGUGCAAAGGCAUAAGCUAGCUUGACUGCGAGAGUGACAGCUCGAGCAGGUGCGAAAGCAGGUCUUAGUGAUCCGGUGGUUCUGAAUGGAAGGGCCAUCGCUCAACGGAUAAAAGGUACUCCGGGGAUAACAGGCUGAUACCGCCCAAGAGUUCAUAUCGACGGCGGUGUUUGGCACCUCGAUGUCGGCUCAUCACAUCCUGGGGCUGAAGUAGGUCCCAAGGGUAUGGCUGUUCGCCAUUUAAAGUGGUACGCGAGCUGGGUUUAGAACGUCGUGAGACAGUUCGGUCCCUAUCUGCCGUGGGCGUUGGAAGAUUGAGAGGGGUUGCUCCUAGUACGAGAGGACCGGAGUGAACGCACCACUGGUGUACGGGUUGUGAUGCCAAUUGCAUUGCCCGGUAGCUAAGUGCGGAAGAGAUAACCGCUGAAAGCAUCUAAGCGGGAAACUUGCCUCGAGAUGAGUCUUCCCUGGGCACUAGAUGCCCCUGAAGGGCCGUUGAAGACGACGACGUAGAUAGGCUGGGUGUGUAAGCGUAGCGAUACGUUGAGCUAACCAGUACUAAUGACCCGAGAGGCUUAACCUUACAACACCGAAGGUGUUU